GACGAACGCUGGCGGCGUGCUUAACACAUGCAAGUCGAGCGGUAAGGCCCUUUCGGGGGUACACGAGCGGCGAACGGGUGAGUAACACGUGGGUGACCUGCCCUCAGCUCUGGGAUAAGCCUGGGAAACUGGGUCUAAUACCGGAUAUGACUCCAUGACGCAUGUUGUGGGGUGGAAAGCCUUGUGCGGCCUAGGAGUGGCCGGGCCCGGCCGUACUACUACGACGUUCGUUUUGGUUGGGGGGUUGGGGAGUAGGUCCGGUACCCCUAAAACCGGAACGGGACCGGAACCGGGGUAACGGGGUACCGGGCCCCGGUCCGUAGGAAGGGGACGGGGACCCGGGACCCCGGACCCAACCUACGGGUACGGGUACGUAGGAACGAACCGGGACCCCGGACCCGAACGUACCCUUACCGGGUAACGGGGGACGGACGACGACGUAGGGGGUAAGGGGUAACUUUCGUUCGGCC
rnacentral:rRNA from 1 species